rnacentral:RNase_P_RNA from 1 species
GCAGGGUAACGGCUAACAGCCGCCGAGGGCGACCUUAGGGAAAGUGCAUAGAGAAUAACCGCCGCUUUUUGCGGUAAGGGUGGAAAGGCGAGGUAAGAGCUCACCGGCGUUGCAGAGAUGCAGCGGCCGAGCAAACCCUACCCGAUGCAACAUCGACAGGAGUUGUCAGCUGGGCAGAUACUCCGAAGGAUGGCUUCAGGUGUGCGGCAACGCACAUCGCAGAUAGAUAAUUGCCUUAAACGACAGAACUCGGCUUACAGACCUGCUCAU